CUGAUGAUGGCCUCUUCCCCAAUGCCCCCCUCCCCCAGUUAUUAGACUUUGUUCUGCAUGCUGACAGUUCAGCUCCUGGACCAGGAAUAUUCUUUCAUCCUAUUUUCAUACACAAAUGUCUCUCUUCAACUUCAUAGAGGUGAUGUGAUAGAACUCAGAGCAGAAAGGACAUGUGGAGAAGACAAUGCUAACAAACAAUUUGCAGUUCCUCAUUUCCAUGGCUGAACGAGUUGGUUUUAGCUGUAACGUGUUAACGAUGGCCUGAGAUUACAUGCAGGAACAUACCAUGGAGCAGCUUAAUGGUGAAAUGCUUCAAUUGCUGCCAACUCAGCAGAGCAAAGGCAGGGGACAAAGCUCUCCUGAUGAACCCUGGAAUCCUGAGUUUUUUGCUCUAGAAACAAUUUAUGCAAACUUCUCAGCAGUAACGGUGGUCACCAGCGCAGAGUGAUGGUUUUGAACAAUGUCUUCAUAUAAAGGAAAAACAAAUACAGCCUUCCAUCCCCCACCAUCUGUUGUGAGGGGUAUUCCCUUUUUUUUACUGUUUUGGGGAAGAAUUUGGCUUAAUGUUAUUAAGUAUAAUAAUUAAGACUUUUAACAUUUCUAGAAGCUUGACUUGCAUGCGGGAGUUAGAUUGUGACAGCCUGAUGUGCUGUACUAAAAUGAUACAUAAGUAGAGUAAUGUUUUCAUCAGUGUGUUGCUGUUCAAAGUUGAUUUUCUCUGUAGGGUGCCAUAAAGUAAUUAGAAGACCGUAACAUGAUCCUUCAGUAUUGCAUUAAUUCCUUAGAGGGAUGAAUUCAUCUUUUCUGACUGCAGUAGUGCAUGACUGGCCAUGGAAAUGCCACUGAACUAUAAAAUCAUCUGUAAAACAAAGAACAAUUUUUCCAGAGUAGCAUGUUUAUUUUACAAAACUCGUGAAAGGCUCAUGCUUUUAGUGAUUUUUGCUUGUAGCAAACUGGAAGCGAAACUACCUUAAAAUUAAAAAUCGACAUGGAAUGCUGUGUACUUCGCCUUAAAGAAAAUUGCGUGUGAAAUAUUUGUCUUCUGUGAGGACUGAAGACUAUUAGAAGGUCUGUGCCAACAGAAGAAGAAUCUCUUGUUACAGAUGAUGAGUUUUUGCAGCUGGUGUCAACUAAUCCAGCGACGGCUGCAUACUGUAAAUCUAAAAGAUGAGAAUUUUGAGCAGUUUUCUUUUUCCCAGCAGUGAGUAGAGAGCUGGGUUUGCCUAGUGAGACUGUGUUAGAAAUUAGCCUUGAUUGGGCUUUUCUUGGAUUUUUAUUUUUAUUUGUUAAAUGACCAAUGCUCUAAGCACAAGUUUGUAAUAGAGGCUUGUGUUGGCUGGGAGGGGAGGGAUGCUGACCAUGCACUGCACAGAUGGGGCAAGACUGGAAAUACUCAAUGAGUUUGAUCAGAAAAGAUUGUGUGCAGCCCCUCUAAGCUGACAUGUUCC
rnacentral:lncRNA from 1 species